UGGUGUUUAGUUAUGAUGGGUCUAGAGUAAAUAAACUUGGGGGUUUCGGUUCUCUAGAUUCUUUUUAAGGUCGCUUUU
rnacentral:tRNA from 1 species